AAUUCCUGUUUGGGAGGCCAAACAGGUACUGGGGUUGGAUUGGUUAAUUAGAAGAGAAUAAGUUAUACGUGUGAAUAUAGAUAUCAACAAGUUAUGCAAGAGAAGAGGAUGUAUCUUGAUUACUGUCUCAUAGCUUCCUUCUCUUUAAAGAGAAAUUCUAAUUAGAGUAAGAAGGAAAUAGCUCAAGGUUAAAGAUAUUUUUUUCAAACAUAAAUCUAAU
rnacentral:misc_RNA from 1 species